AAUGANCGUUGGCGGCGUGGAUUAGGCAUGCAAGUCGAGCGAGAACCGUAGCAAUACGGGGACAGCGGCGAAAGGGACAGUAAUAUGUAGGUACCUACCCCGGGGUCUGGGAUAGCUGCGGGAAACUGCAGGUAAUACCGGAUAAUGUCUUCGGACCAAAGGUGUGAUUCCACCUUGGGAGGGGCCUACAUCCUAUUAGCUUGUUGGUGAGGUAACGGCUCACCAAGGCAACGAUGGGUAGCGGGUGUGAGAGCACGACCCGCGUCAUUGGGACUGAGAUACUGCCCAGACACCUACGGGUGGCUGCAGUCGAGGAUCUUCGGCAAUGGGCGAAAGCCUGACCGAGCGACGCCGCGUGUGGGAUGAAGGCCCUCGGGUUGUAAACCACUGUCAACGGGGAGGAAAUACAGAAGGGCUAUCCCUUUUGUUUGACCUAUCUGUGGAGGAAGUACGGGCUAAGUUCGUG
rnacentral:rRNA from 1 species